AUGAAUAUUAUUAUUGUUUAAAAUUUAAUUAUAAAUAUUAUAUUUAUAUAAUUUAUUGAAAAAUAAAAAUUUAAAUAAUUUUUAUUAAUUUUAAUAUAUAAUUUUAAUAAUGAAAUAGUUUUUUAAUUAGAAAUAUAAAUAAAUUUUAAUAAAAAAGGUGCCAGCAAUAGCGGUUAUACCUUUAAAAAUAAAUUAAAUGAAUUUAAUAAAUAUUUAUUUAUAUAUAUAUAUAUAUAUAUAUAUAUAUAUAUAUAUAAAUAUAAAUAAUUUAAUAUUAGGUGAAAUUUUAUUAAAUAAUUUAAAUUAUUAAUUUAUAAAUUUAAAAAAAUUAGGAUUAGAUACCCUAUUAUAUUUUAUGAAAAUUUUAUUUAUUAAUAAUUAAAUGUUAAACAUUAAAAUUAAUUAUUAUGGUAGUAAUUUAAAAAAUUAGAGAAACUUGAUUUUUAAUAGAUAAUACACUAUAAGUUUAAUUUAAAUUAAAAUUAUGUAUGAUUAUUUUUAAUUAAUUUAUUAAUAGAUUAAUUUAAAUUAAAAUUUUUAAAAUAAUUUAAAUCAAUAUAUAUUUAUAUUUAAAUAGAAUUGAGUUACAUUAAUUUAAUUGUGAAUAUAAUUUUUAAAUAAAUUAUUGAAAAUGGAUUUAAAAGUAAAUAAAAAUAAUUAUUUUUAUUAAAUAAUUUUUAAAUUAUAUACAAAUUGCCCGUCACUCUUUUAAUUUAAUAAAAGAUAAGUCGUAACAAGGUAAAUAUAAUGGAAAUUAUAUUUAGAUUAAA
rnacentral:rRNA from 1 species